GCAGAAUAGCUAGCCUUACAGGUGGGGCCGAAGCCCGAGAAAUUUACCCGGCCCGCAAUAUUAGCAGUAUAUAAACUAAAGCAUUCUCCCACCAUAGUAUGGGCGACAGAAAAGGAAUUUUAAGAGCAAUAGAGAAAGUACCGCAAGGGAAAGCUGAAAUAGUAAUGAAAUAAUUCGUCAAAGCACAGUAAAGCAAGGACUAGAACCUGUACCUUUUGCAUCAUGGUUUAGCCAGUAUACCCAAGCAAAGAGAACUUUAGUUUGGACCCCCGAAACUGGAGUGAGCUACUUCAAGGCAGCCUAAAAUAGGGCAAACCCGUCUCUGUGGCAAAAGAGUGGGAAGACCUUCAAGUAGAGGCGAUAAACCUAACGAACCCAGUUAUAGCUGGUUGCCCAAAAAAUGGAUAUAAGUUCAACCCCACCCUCCUCCAGCUAAAUAAGUAAAGACAUAAUUAAGCGACGAGAUAGAAGUGGGAGCUAGUCGAAGAAGGUACAGCUUCUUUGAAAAGGAUACAACCUUAAUAGGAGGUAAAGGAUCAUAAUUAUUAAAGGAACAACGCUGUAGUAGGCUUAAGAGCAGCCACCAGUACAGAAAGCGUUAAAGCUCAAGCAAUAUAUUAUCCUAUUAUUUAGAUAUAUAAUCCAAAUCCCCUAAAACCUUAUUGGGCCAUUCCAUGCCCCCAUGGAAGAGAUUAUGCUAAAACGAGUAACAAGAAGACCUACCCUUCUCCAGGCGCAUGUGUAUGUUAGACUGGACAAACCACUAACAGAUAACGGCCUCAACACAAGAGAGAACUAGAAAUUUAAUAAAGACCAAGAAAACCCUCUUAACAAAAGCCGUUGACCCGACACAGGAGUGCAACACUAGGAAAGACAAAAGGGAAGAGAAGGAACUCGGCAAACACCAAAGCCUCGCCUGUUUACCAAAAACAUCGCCUCCUGCAAACAUAGCAUAGGAGGUCCCGCCUGCCCAGUGACUUAAAGUUUAACGGCCGCGGUAUUCUGACCGUGCAAAGGUAGCGCAAUCACUUGUCCCUUAAAUAGGGACCUGUAUGAAUGGCAUAACGAGGGCUUAACUGUCUCCUCCUCCCAGUCAGUGAAACUGAUCUGCCCGUGAAGAAGCGGGCAUAUCGUUGUAAGACGAGAAGACCCUAUGGAGCUUAAGACACAAAAUUCAACCAUGUUGAGCCACCCCCACAAAGGGGCAAAACAUAAUGGAAAUUGAUUAGCUGUCUUCGGUUGGGGCGACCGUGGGGAAAAAUGAAACCCCCAAGUGAAAUAGGAUUUAUCCUAAGUCAAGAUAAGACACAUCUAAACCAUAAAACAUUUAAUCACCAAUGACCCGGACACUAAGCCGAGCAACGGACCAAGUUACCCUAGGGAUAACAGCGCAAUCCUCUUUUAGAGUCCAUAUCGACAAGAGGGUUUACGACCUCGAUGUUGGAUCAGGACAUCCUAAUGGUGCAGCCGCUAUUAAGGGUUCGUUUGUUCAACGAUUAAAGUCCUACGUGAUCUGAGUUCAGACCGGAGCAAUCCAGGUCAGUUUCUAUCUACAAUAAGUGCUUUUUCCUAGUACGAAAGGAUCGGAAAAGGAAGGCCCAUGCUGAAGGCAAGCCUUAGUCCCAACUGAUGAAGAAAACUAAAUUAGGCAAGGGCACACGAUAUGCCAGCCAAGACCAGGCUU
rnacentral:rRNA from 1 species